GACGAACGCUGGCGGCGUGCCUAAUACAUGCAAGUCGAGCGGACGGAUGGGAGCUUGCUCCCAGACCGUCAGCGGCGGACGGGUGAGUAACACGUGGGCAACCUGCCUGUAAGACUGGGAUAACUCCGGGAAACCGGGCCUAAUACGGGAUAACUCUUGCCCUCACAUGAGGGAAAGCUGAAAGAUGGCAUCUCGCUAUCACUUACAGAUGGGCCCCCGGCGCAUUAGCUAGUUGGUGAGGUAACGGCUCACCAAGGCGACGAUGCGUAGCCGACCUGAGGGGGUGAUCGGCCACACUGGGACUGAGGCACGGCCCAGACUCCUGCGGGAGGCAGCAGUAGGGAAUCUUCCGCAAUGGACGAAAAUCUGACGGAGCAACGCCGCGUGAGUGAUGAAGGUUUUCGGAUCGUAAAACUCUGUUGUCAGGGAAGAACAAGUACCGGAGUAACUGCCGGUACCUUGACGGUACCUGGCCAGAAAGCCACGGCUAACUACGUG
rnacentral:rRNA from 1 species